rnacentral:rRNA from 1 species
UACGUAGGGUGCGAGCGUUAAUCGGAAUUACUGGGCGUAAAGCGUGCGCAGGUGGUUUGUUAAGUCAGAUGUGAAAGCCCCGAGCUUAACUUGGGAACUGCGUUUGAAACUGGCAAGCUAGAGUCUGUCAGAGGGGGGUAGAAUUCCACGUGUAGCAGUGAAAUGCGUAGAGAUGUGGAGGAAUACCAAUGGCGAAGGCAGCCCCCUGGGAUAAGACUGACGCUCAUGCACGAAAGCGUGGGGAGCAAACAGGAUUAGAUACCCUGGUAGUCCACGCCCUAAACGAUGUCAACUGGUUGUUGGGCAACUUGAUUGUUCAGUAACGAAGCUAACGCGAGAAGUUGACCGCCUGGGGAGUACGGUCGCAAGAUUAAAACUCAAAGGAAUUGACGGGGACCCGCACAAGCGGUGGAUGAUGUGGAUUAAUUCGAUGCAACGCGAAAAACCUUACCUACCCUUGACAUGUACGGAAGUCUGCUGAGAGGUGGAUGUGCCUGAAAGGGAACCGUAACACAGGUGCUGCAUGGCUGUCGUCAGCUCGUGUCGUGAGAUGUUGGGUUAAGUCCCGCAACGAGCGCAACCCUUGCUAUUAAUUGCCAUCAUUAAGUUGGGCACUUUAAUGGGACUGCUGGUGAUAAACCGGAGGAAGGUGGGGAUGACGUCAAGUCCUCAUGGCCCUUAUGGGUAGGGCUUCACACGUCAUACAAUGGCCGGUACAGAGGGAUGCCAACCCGCGAGGGGGAGCCAAUCUCAGAAAGCCGGUCGUAGUCCGGAUUGUUCUCUGC